rnacentral:rRNA from 1 species
CAUUCACGGAGAGUUUGAUCCUGGCUCAGGACGAACGCUGGCGGCGUGCUUAACACAUGCAAGUCGAACGAUGAAGCCCUUCGGGGUGGAUUAGUGGCGAACGGGUGAGUAACACGUGGGCAAUCUGCCCUGCACUCUGGGACAAGCCCUGGAAACGGGGUCUAAUACCGGAUAUGACCAUCUUGGGCAUCCUUGAUGGUGUAAAGCUCCGG